UACGGGGGGGGCAAGCGUUGUUCGGAAUUACUGGGCGUAAAGGGCUCGUAGGCGGCCAACUAAGUCGGACGUGAAAUCCCCAGGCUCAACCUGGGAACUGCGUCCGAUACUGGAUGGCUUGAAUUCGGGAGAGGGAUGCAGAAUUCCAGGUGUAGCGGUGAAAUGCGUAGAUAUCUGGAGGAAUACCGGUGGCGAAGGCGGCAUCCUGGGUCAACACUGACGCUCAUGCACGAAAGCGUGGGGAGCAAACAGG
rnacentral:rRNA from 1 species